GCCGUGAAUCACAUGAGAGUUGUGAAUGCGAUGUUGUGUAUUAGGCUGUACAUAAUAUUAACGGAAAGAGAGUGAUAAUAUAUAACCUUUCAUCGCUUCCGAAGUGACUAAAAGGGAUAUUGGACCUUAUUUUCAGAUUACAGACAACACGAGAGGGUGCUUCAAACUUUUUAAUCAGGACUGCAUUGUUUGUUCGCUCCCGGGGUUACAUAGACUGAAACGAGGAAGUGUGACGAGUUUGUUUACAUGGUGCUGUAAACUUCAACCCAGGAGGACACUUCAAAGGAAUCAAGGAUCUAACAGUGGUUCUGGGGCAUUGCAAGACUAUGGUUACCUGGAAACAUCUCCUAUUAUGCAAGAUUAUCGCAACAUUUGUGUCUUGGAUCAUUUUUUCUUGUUUCUCUGCCACAGAUUUAGCUGUAAGGUUUAAAGGUCCCGUUUAUCCUGAUCCCAUUUUUUAAACUUUAGUUGGUGUGUAAUGUUGCUGUAAGAGCAUAAAUAAUAUCUGUAAAAUUAUAAAGCUCAAAAUUCUAUACCAAGCGAUAUAUUUUCUUUAAUAGAAUUUCCCUUUCAAAGCCUAUAGCAAACGGCCAGUUUGGACUACAGCCCUCUACUUCUCGAUUGAAUGACAUCCAAAGAAGAGUUUUUUACUAACCUCUGCCCACUGGAAUAUGUCAGUCGCCAGCUAAACUCAAGUGGCUCUACUAAGCUGCUGUUGAAUCACAGUACACUAAACAAACUACAUAAUCAGAACUCGAUAGGUAUUUCUGAAGGAGGGACUUUAUAGAACAAGGAAGACAUCAGCUCGUUUUUAGUAAAGUAAAAACAGCGCUAGAGAGUAUGUGAAAAAUAUUGUCUUUUUUUACACACAAAACAUGAACACACGCUAUAUUGCACACCAUAAACACAAUCAUAGUUUGUGUUAAAUACUCUCAUUCUCACGGCACCCAUUCACUGCAGAGGAUCCCAUUGUAAGCAAUGUAAUGCUUAAUUUCUCCAAAUCUGUUCCAGUGAAAAAACAAACCAUCUAUAUCUUGGGUGAAAAAUUACUUUAAUCCCAAAAACAAACGUUUUUCAUUUAAAUGUUUUUACUUUGCUUUAUUGUUACAAUUUGUACAGUAGAUAGAAAAUAUACAUUGGAACAAAUGUAUAUACAGUGGUGUGAAAAGGUGUUAGCCCCCAUCCAGAUUUCCCAUGUUAUUAUUGCAUAUUUGUCACACUUUAAUGUUUCAGAUCAUCAAACAAAUUCAAAUAUUAGUCAAAAAAUAAAACCCAAGUGAACACAACAUGCAUUUUUUAAAUGAAGGUUUUUAUUAUUAAGGGAAAAAAUCAAAACUACAUGGCCCUGUGUAAAAAAGUGUGUUAGUACCCACUGGCUUUUAAUGUAAAUAUGUUUGGUUCUAAAAAUGUACAUAUAUAUUUUUUCAUACUUGAGACAAUAUACAUUGAAGUUCAUUUAUAAAUAAAACUAUAUUUUGAACAAUGA